UAUUAUUUAAAAUGUAAAUAUUAAUAUUUAAGUAGUAAUAGUUAUGUUCUUGAAACUUAAAAAAUUUGGCGGUAUUUUAGUCUAUCCAGAGGAACCUGUUUUGUAAUCGAUAAUCCACGAUGGACCUUACUUAAAUUUGUAUUCAGUUUAUAUACCGUCGUUAUCAGAAUAUUUUAUAAGAAUAAUAAUAUUCAAUAAUUUUUAUUAAAAUUUAUAUCAGAUCAAGGUGUAGCUUAUAUUUAAGUAAUAAUGGGUUACAAUAAAUUUAUUUAAACGGAGAAAAUUAUGAAAAAGUUUUUGAAGGUGGAUUUGGUUGUAAAAUUAUAAAGAUUAAUAAUUUGAUUUUAGCUCUAAAAUAUGUACACAUCGCCCGUCGCUCUUAUUAUUAAGGUAAGAUAAGUCGUAACAUAGUAGAUGUACUGGAAAGUGUAUCUAGAAUGA
rnacentral:rRNA from 2 species